rnacentral:rRNA from 1 species
GACGAACGCUGGCGGCGUGCUUAACACAUGCAAGUCGAACGGAAAGGCCCUUCUUGGGUGGGUUGCUCGGGUGACGGGCGAGUAAGUAACAAGUAAGUAACCUUCCACUUACUGUGGGAUAACUGCAAGAAACUGGAACUAAUACCAGAAAUGCUCGCCUCAUGGAGGGGGUGGGUAGGAAAGUUUGGGGGGUUAGGGAUGGGCUGGCGGCUUAUCUGCUUGUUGGGGGGUGAGUGGCUUACCAAGGCUUUGGUGGGUAGCCGGCUGGGGAGGGGGCCCGGCCACAUUGGGACGGAGAUACGGCCCGGACUCCUCCGGGAGGAAGCAGGGGGGAUUAUGGCACAAUGGGCGGAAGCUUAAUGCAGCAACGCCGCGGGGGGGAGAACGGCCUUCGGGUGUUAAACCGCUUUCGCCGGUGACGAAGCGUGAGUGACGGUAACUGCUAAAGAAGCACCGGCUAACUACGUG